rnacentral:misc_RNA from 1 species
UCCGAGUUAACCCCGGCAGUCUCGCUAGAGUGCUCAACUUAAUGGUAGCAACUAACGACAAGGGUUGCGCUCGUUGCGGGACUUAACCCAACAUCUCACGACACGAGCUGACGACAACCAUGCACCACCUGUCUCAAAGUUCCCCGAAGGGCACUCCUCAAUCUCUUGUGGAUUCUUUGGAUGUCAAGUCCUGGUAAGGUUCUUCGCGUUGCUUCGAAUUAAACCACAUGCUCCGCUGCUUGUGCGGGCCCCCGUCAAUUCCUUUGAGUUUUAAUCUUGCGAUCGUACUUCCCAGGCGGAGUACUUAAUGUGUUAACUGCGGCACAGGGGGUGGUACCCCCCUACACCUAGUACUCAUCGUUUACGGCGUGGACUAC